rnacentral:rRNA from 1 species
CCUACGGUGGGCAGCAGUGAGGAAUAUUGGUCAAUGGGCGGGAGCCUGAACCAGCCAAGUCGCGUGAGGGAAGACGGUCCUAUGGAUUGUAAACCUCUUUAGGCGGGGAGCAAUGCCGGGCACGUGUGCCCGGAGGGAGAGUACCCGCAGAAUAAGCAUCGGCUAACUCCGUGCCAGCAGCCGCGGUAAUACGGAGGAUGCGAGCGUUAUCCGGAUUUAUGGGGUUUAAAGGGUGCGUAGGCGGAUUUUUAAGGCAGCGGUAAAGUGUCCGGGCCCAACCCGGGCCGGCCGUUGAAACUGGGGAGCUUGAGUGGGCGAGAAGUAUGCGGAAUGCGUGGUGUAGCGGUGAAAUGCAGAGAUAUCACGCAGAACUCCGAUUGCGAAGGCAGCAUACCGGCGCCCGACUGACGCUGAGGCACGAAAGCGUGGGGAUCGAACAGGAUUAGAUACCCCGGUAGUC